rnacentral:rRNA from 1 species
AUGGGCUGCCCUGCUCUCGGCGCCCAGCUGCACUCGCUCAUCGUCAAAGCCGGCCUGGCCAACAAUGUCUUCGCUGCGACCGCUCUGCUUCAUAUGUACGCAAAAUGUGGCCGCACGAGGGACGCUCGUCGGGUGUUCGCUGGAAUGCCGGAGCGGAACACUGUUUCUUGGAACGCGCUCGUUGCCAGUUAUGUGGAAUCUGGGAUGGUUGCUCCAGCUGUUCAGCUGUUUGUUAAGAUGGAGAGGGAGGGGUUACGUCCAGACGAGGCAACAUUCGCCGCGUUGCUCACGGUGGUCGAUGAGUCCAAUUCUUCAGGUGUAUGCAGUCAGAAAAUAUUAGAACUGAUGAGUAUGCAUUCUCUGCUGCCCUGCGUCCUAGCUUUACUUCGGCUAGGUAGACAAAUACACGGUUUAGUCAUCCGUUCUGGUUUUGCUUCCAACAAUUUUGUUUCCAGCUCGCUGAUCUUCAUGUAUUCUAAGAGCGGCAUUCUGGAUGAUGCAAUGAAGUCUUUUGAGGAGGCAGACAAGAGUAGCUCUGUGCCCUGGAACUCUAUGAUGUUUGGUUAUGCGCAGCAUGGACAUGCACAGACCGUGCUUAGCCUCUUCAAUGAGAUGCUGGAGCUUAAGGUUCCUUUGGAUCAUAUCACAUUUGUUGGCCUGAUUACUGCCUGCAGUCAUGCUGGUCUUGUGGACGAAGGUUCAGAAAUCCUCAAUACGAUGGAAAGUAGGUAUGGAAUUCCUCUUCGGAUGGAGCAUUAUGCAUGUGGCAUUGAUCUCUAUGGCAGGGCUGGGCAGCUUGACAAAGCAAAAGAGCUUAUUGACUCUAUGCCAUUUGAGCCAGAUGCCAUGGUGUGGAUGACCCUAUUAGGUGCUUGCAGAAUCCAUGGGAAUAUGGAACUAGCGAGUGAUGUGGCCAGCCAUCUGUUGGAGGCAGAACCUAGACAGCACUCCACCUAUGUUCUCCUCUCCAGCAUGUAUUCUGGUCUUGGGAUGUGGAGUGAUAGAGCAAUCGUGCAGAAGGAAAUGAAGAAUAAAGGAUUAAGCAAAGUCCCUGGUUGGAGCUGGAUCGAGGUGAAGAAUGAGGUGCACUCUUUCAAUGCAGAGGAUGGGUCGCACCCAAGGAUGGAUGAAAUAUAUGAGAUGUUAGGUUUGUUGCUUCACAAUUUUCCCGUGCAGCUGCCGCAUCAGGAAACAACUGCAUUUUCCUGUAUCUAG